GCUAGCGUCGCCACCGAUGGUCCUUCCGUUUGGAAGGUGAAAAGGGAAGCCGGUGCGAGUUCGCUCCAUUCCGGCGCUGCCCCCGCAACUGUAAGCGACGAGCCAUCGCCGAGACCACUGGGGCAACCUGGGAAGGCGGCGAGAGGGCGGCGACUCGCGAGCCAGGAGACCUGCCAUCGCGGACUGUGCUUU
rnacentral:ncRNA from 2 species